GCCCGGCUGGCAGGCGCGCUACGACUGGAACGGCUUCGUGCCGUUCGCGCAGCUGCCGCGGGCGUUCAAUCCGCCCGACGGGCGC
rnacentral:tRNA from 1 species